rnacentral:rRNA from 1 species
AGUGAACGCUGGGCGGCAGGCCUAACACAUGCAAGUCGAGCGGCAGCGCGGGGCAACCCUGGCGACGAGCGGCGGACGGGUGAGGAAUGCAUCGGAAUCUACCUCGUUGUGGGGGAUAACCUCGGGAAACCGGGACUAAUACCGCAUACGACCUACGGGUGAAAGUGGGGGACCUUCGGGCCUCACGCGAUGAGAUGAGCCGAUGCCGGAUUAGCUAGUUGGCGGGGUAAAGGCCCACCAAGGCGACGAUCCGUAGCUGGUCUGAGAGGAUGAUCAGCCACACUGGAACUGAGACACGGUCCAGACUCCUACGGGAGGCAGCAGUGGGGAAUAUUGGACAAUGGGCGCAAGCCUGAUCCAGCCAUGCCGCGUGUGUGAAGAAGGCCUUCGGGUUGUAAAGCACUUUUGUUGGGGAAGAAACCGGUCGGAUUAAUACUUCGGCUGAAUGACGGUACCCAAAGAAUAAGCACCGGCUAACUUCGUG